rnacentral:tRNA from 1 species
UUAGCUCAGUUGGUAGAGCGCUCGGCUGUUAACCGAUAGGUCGUUGGUUCGAGUCCAACA